GAUGAACGCUAGCUACAGGCUUAACACAUGCAAGUCGAGGGACCGGCGCACGGGUGAGUAACACGUAUCCAACCUGCCCUUUACUCGGGGAUAGCCUUUCGAAAGAAAGAUUAAUACCCGAUAUAAAGGAUGGGGAUGCGGUCCAAUAGGUGGUUGGUGAGGUAACGGCUCAACAAGCCUUAGAUGGAUAGGGGUUCGGAGGGGAAGGCUCCCCACAUUGGAAAUUAGACCCGUUCCACACUCGUACGGGAGGCAGCAGUGAGGAAUAUUGGUCAAUGGUCGCUAGCCUGAACCAGCCAAGUAGCGUGAAGGAUGAAUGCUUAUUGGUCGUAUACUUCUUUUAUAUAAGAAUAUGUAUUAGAUGAAUAAGGAUCGGCUAACUCCGUGCCAGCAGCCGCGGUAAUUC
rnacentral:rRNA from 1 species